rnacentral:Y_RNA from 1 species
GGCUGUUUCAAAGGUAAUGAGUUAUCUCAGUUGAUUGUUCACAGUCAGUUACAGAUCGAACUCCUUGUUCUACUCUUUCCCCUCUUCUCACUACUGCACUCGACUAGUCUUUA